rnacentral:rRNA from 1 species
ACGAACUGCCGUUGACAAGACGGAGGAAGGUGGGAUGACGUCAAAUCAUCAUGCCCCUUAUGUUCUGGGCUACACACGUGCUACAAUGGCCGGUACAGACGGACGCAAAGCCGCGAGGUGGAGCAAAUCCUAAAAAGCCGGUCUCAGUUCGGAUUGCAGGCUGCAAUUCGCCUGCAUGAAGUCGGAAUCGCUAGUAAUCGCAGGUCAGCAUACUCGCGGUUCGAAUACGUUCCGGGCCUU